rnacentral:rRNA from 1 species
AGUCGCGGGAAUCCCAGCAAUGGGGGAACCGGCGUAAGGGGCAGUAAGGCGUGGGUACCUACCCCGGGGUCCGGGAUAGCCGUCCGAGAGGGCGGGUAAUACCGGAUGACCUCGGGAGAGCAAAGCUCCGGCGCCCUGGGAGGGGCCCACGUGAUAUUAGCUGGUUGGUGAGGUGACGGCUCACCAAGGCGGAGAUGUCUAGCGGGUGUGAGAGCACGACCCGCGCCACUCGCACUGAGACACUGGCGAGACACCUACGGGUGGCUGCAGUCGAGGAUCUUCGGCAAUGCGCGCAAGCGCGACCGAGCGACGCCGCGUGGGCGAUGAAGGCCUUCGGGUUGUAAAGCCCUGUCGAGGGGGAGAAAAGCGGGCAACCGUGUGAUCUAUCCCUGGAGGAAGCUCGGGCUAAGUUCGUGCCAGCAGCCGCGGUAAGACGAACCGAGCGAACGUUGUUCGGAAUCACUGGGCUUAAAGGGCGCGUAGGCGGGCUGCCAAGUUUGGGGUGAAAUCCUCCGGCUCAACCGGGGAAGGGCCUUGAAUACUGGCGGUCUGGAGGGGGGUAGGGGCGUGCGGAACUAACGGUGGAGCGGUGAAAUGCGUUGAUAUCGUUAGGAACUCCGGUGGCGAAGGCGGCACGCUGGACCCUCACUGACGCUGAGGCGCGAAAGCCAGGGGAGCGAACGGGAUUAGAUACCCCGGUAGUCCUGGCCCUAAACGUUGAGAACUAGGUAGUAGGCCGGACAUGGGCUUACUGCCGGAGCAAAAGUGCUAAGUUCUCCCCCUGGGGAGUAUGGUCGCAAGGCUGAAACUCAAAGGAAUUGACGGGGCUCACACAGCGGUGGAACAUGUG